UGUGUAAAGCUGUCAACAAAGCUAUCCCAAGCUUUUCCCAUCCUUUGCUACUCAGUCAGCUCUAAGCCACUUGGGCUUGACCAGGACGUGGAUUAAACCUGAAGACACAGAAACCCCUGCUGCUCUUUCCAAAAACUUCUCUAUCACCCACACCUGCCAUCAGAUUAGGAGAGGUCGGCUGGGCAACUUUCUAGAAGAACUGAAUAUGCUGUUGUCCUCACUCCUUGAGGAUUUCAGCCCUCUACAUUUUUUUGGUGACUUCAACAUCCACCUUGAGAAGCCAUUUUUGCUGCUGACUUCCACUUGGUCCGAGCCUCUUUUGACCUUUGGAGACUUGAUGCCACAGGUUUCUAUAAAUCAGUAACCAACUUGACCUCACCUUUUCACGCUAUCGUAUCACAGAUAAUAUCUUGGUCAAAUCCUUGCACAUCUUGUAUUAUAAUCUUAUUAAUUUUAUUUUACAUCUUCUUCUGCACCACCAACCCUACUAACAGUUUCGUUUAGACAAAAUCUAAGGUCUCUAUCUCCUCCUUGAUUUGCCUCUGUGGUAUCAUCCUCUCUUCCCACCCCCAAACACUUAAAAUCAUUAGAUGGAAUUCUGCCACAAAAAUGCUAUUUUCUACGUCACAUCUACUGGUCACAGGGGUUCCUCAGGGAUCUGUUCUUGGGCCCCUUCUCUUCUCUAUAUACACUACACCACUGGGACCCAUCUUUCAGCUGACCUUAAAAGAUCACAUUGAAAAAAAAAAAAAAAAAAACAGAGAAAAAAAACAGCAUAAUCAUCCAGGUUUGCACUACAAAACAGAGAACAGAGCAUGCAAUCACAAACAGGCCCUAGUCAUUUCUAGGUUGGACUAUUGCAUUGCUCUUCUGGCUGGACUUCCAACAAUCAAACCUCUGCAAAUGGUUCAAAAUGCAACAGCAUGUCUUGUUUUCAAUGAGUAAAAGAAAGCCCAUUUCACAACAGUUCUCAUCGCUCUGUACUGGCCUACAGUCAUGGCUUCAAUCAA